AACUUUCAACAACGGAUCUCUUGGUUCUGGCAUCGAUGAAGAACGCAGCGAAAUGCGAUAAGUAGUGUGAAUUGCAGAAUUCAGUGAAUCAUCGAAUCUUUGAACGCACAUUGCGCCCCUUGGUAUUCCUUGGGGCAUGCCUGUUCGAGCGUCAUC
rnacentral:rRNA from 1 species